AGGAGGAACAGCCCCAGUGGCGGGGCCAGCUCUGGAGCCCUGGAUUCAGCUCUGGCAGUAACUCCGGAGCUCUCCGUCUGCAGGGCCUGGAGGCUCCGGGGCGGG
rnacentral:pre_miRNA from 1 species